rnacentral:lncRNA from 1 species
CGAAAUAAAGCACACGUGCGAAGCACGCCUUUAUGCAACAAUCAAAUAAUAAACAUAAUUAAAAUCAAAUGAGAGCGCCAUACUCCUAAACGACAAUCAUGCCACGUAAACAAAUCAAGAGCCGUGUAUUCUAUUCAUCCAACGACUAAACCAACCACUUUUAGUCCACGCUCAAAAUCACAAACCUCUUUCCCAAGAUUUAGGUACCACUACUGAAUUCCCAUCACCAAUUUCCCGACCUUUUUUUCGUUCACCGGAAAUCAACCGCCGACAUCUUUUCCGGUGAACCCCACUUUCUUCCUGUUCACAGUACAUUCAUCUGUUCUGGUCCCCCAUAUGUGCACAAGUAUAUAACAAUACAUAAUACACAUAACCACAGACAUAUAUUCACACCGAAGCUUCCUUUUUUAUCUCCAUCUCUCUCUCUCCCCCCCCCCCCCCCCCCCCCCNN